rnacentral:misc_RNA from 1 species
UAGUCCUCUCCCUGGAGGAUAUCUUG